GACGAACGCUGGCGGCGUGCUUAACACAUGCAAGUCGAACGGAAAGGCCCUGCUUUUGUGGGGUGCUCGAGUGGCGAGCGGGUGAGUAACACGUGAGUAACCUGCCCUUGACUUUGGGAUAACUUCAGGAAACUGGGGCUAAUACCGGAUAGGAGCUCCUGCUGCAUGGUGGGGGUUGGAAAGUUUCGGCGGUUGGGGAUGGACUCGCGGCUUAUCAGCUUGUUGGUGGGGUAGUGGCUGACCAAGGCUUUGACGGGUAGCCGGCCUGAGAGGGUGACCGGCCACAUUGGGACUGAGAGACGGACCAGACGCCUACGGGAGGCAGCAGUGGGGAAUAUUGCACAAUGGGCGGAAGCCUGAUGCAGCAACGCCGCGUGCGGGAUGACGGCCUUCGGGUUGUAAACCGCUUUCGCCUGUGACGAAGCGUGAGUGACGGUAAUGGGUAAAGAAGCACCGGCUAACUACGUG
rnacentral:rRNA from 1 species